AACCAUAGAAACCUGCGGAGUACCUGCGGAAGGAUCAUUAUCGAGUUUUUGAAACGGGGUUGUAGCUGGCCUUCCGAGGCAUGUGCACGCCCUGCUCAAUCCACUCUACACCUGUGCACUUACUGUGGGUUUCGAGAAAAGGGUUUGCCCAUUCGAAAGGAUGCGCUUCUCUCUAUUGAAGCCCACGUUUAUUCACAAACACUUAUGGUUAUAAGAAUGUGUAUUGCGAUGUAACGCAUC
rnacentral:misc_RNA from 1 species